rnacentral:rRNA from 1 species
UACAGAGGGGGCAAGCGUUGUUCGGAAUUACUGGGCGUAAAGGGCGCGUAGGCGGCCUGCUAAGUCAGACGUGAAAUCCCUCGGCUUAACCGGGGAACUGCGUCUGAUACUGGUUGGCUUGAAUCCGGGAGAGGGAUGUGGAAUUCCAGGUGUAGCGGUGAAAUGCGUAGAUAUCUGGAGGAACACCGGUGGCGAAGGCGGCAUCCUGGACCGGUAUUGACGCUGAGGAGCGAAAGCCAGGGGAGCAAACGGG